CGAAAGAGGCCAUAAACAGACACAGGCUAGAAAUUGCUGUUACUCUUCUCCUGGAAACUGAUGACCUGACAGACAGAUGCCACUUUUGUGGGGAACAGGAACAUGAGUCCGAUGUGAACUGGAUUCAGUGUGAUGUUUGUUUGCGGUGGUUCCACCAAAUGUGUGUUCAAGGCCCACCAGCAGAAGAGGAUUUUGUUUGUCUUGCUUGUUA